GGCCAGAAAGGGCACACCCGCCGCAAGGUGGGGUCGCAAAGCCAGGGGACCGCACCCGCGGUCAGCCCAGCUGCCUCG
rnacentral:ncRNA from 1 species